GGAUUGCCCCAGUAACGGCGAGUGAAGCGGCAACAGCUCAAAUUUGAAAUCUGGCUCCUGGAGCCCGAGUUGUAAUUUGUAGAGGAUGCUUUUGAUGCGGUGCCUUCCGAGUUCCCUGGAACGGGACGCCAUAGAGGGUGAGAGCCCCGUCUGGUCGGAUGCCAAAUCUCUGUAAAGCUCCUUCGACGAGUCGAGUAGUUUGGGAAUGCUGCUCAAAAUGGGAGGUAUAUGUCUUCUAAAGCUAAAUACCGGCCAGAGACCGAUAGCGCACAAGUAGAGUGAUCGAAAGAUGAAAAGCACUUUGAAAAGAGGGUUAAAUAGUACGUGAAAUUGUUGAAAGGGAAGCGCCUAUGACCAGACUUGGGCCCGGUGAAUCAUCCAGCGUUCUCGCUGGUGCACUUUGCCGGGCACAGGCCAGCAUCAGUUUGUCUUGGGGGAAAAAGGCUUUGGGAACGUGGCUCCCUCGGGAGUGUUAUAGACCAUUGCAUAAUACCCUGGGACGGACUGAGGUUCGCGCAUCUGCAAGGAUGCUGGCGUAAUGGUCAUCAGCGACCCGUCUUGAAACACGGACCAAGGAGUCGUCUUCGUAUGCGAGUGUUCGGGUGUAAAACCCCUACGCGUAAUGAAAGUGAACGCAGGUGAGAGCUUCGGCGCAUCAUCGACCGAUCCUGAUGUUCUCGGAUGGAUUUGAGUAAGAGCAUACGGGGCCGGACCCGAAAGAAGGUGAACUAUUCCUGUAUAGGGUGAAGCCAGAGGAAACUCUGGUGGAGGCUCGCAGCGGUUCUGACGUGCGAAUCGAUCGUCAAAUAUGGGAAUGGGGGCGAAAGACUAAUCGAACCUUCUAGUA
rnacentral:rRNA from 1 species